GGUCAUGUGGGCUAGUGGUCAUGGCAUCUGCCCGGUAAGCGGAAGGUCGUGGGUUCGAUUCCCAUCCCUUGACACU